GCCAGAGUGGAGGAAUGGCAGACUCGGGGGUUUCAAAAACCCCUGCCUUCGGGCGUGUGGGUUCGAAUCCCACCUCUGGCA
rnacentral:tRNA from 1 species